rnacentral:rRNA from 1 species
UGGAAUCCAUAGCCCGGCUAGGUCCCAAAGUGCCUGCCGAACCCAGAAACUUGGAACCUGGCUACUGCUAGCCUAUAGCCUAACUCGAGGCCACCAAAGUAGCCAGGGCAGAGGAAUCUUUGGUGUUCGUCUAGGCAGCUCCGAACAUAGAGCUGGACAAGAAGCAGUAGCGAAAGUUAUUUUCGGGGUUUCGCAGGACGGACAGAACAUGCUAGCCAGCAAAGGCAAUCUAGUUGAUCAAAGCAAGAGAGGCCUUAACCUAGUUGGACGUGUUCUCCUGGCUGUUGGCGUAAUAUUUAUAGUUAGUACUUUACCUCGGGAUGGAGCUAGUUCAGCAGCAAGCCCCUGGUAAAAUAUUUAAGUGAACCAAAUUUGCCAUAUACAAGACUGUUGUAUGUUUAGCAUGGCGUUUAACACUACUUAAGUAAAAUCCACUUGGGAUAUGAUAAAAAUAUCCUGUACUCAAACCGCCUAUACGAUCUCUACGGGAACCAAGCGAGUCAGCUAAGUUCAACCCCGCUUACUUAGCAAACAGUCCUGGUGAAAGGGACCGCAUCCAGUCGGUUUGUAACGUCGGGAAUUUGAAAACCGUUUAAACUAUUUAAACUGGACACCUACUUUAGUUUAGUGUUUUACUUGACGAACACUUUGAUAAAGUACGCCCACUGGAAAAACACAUUGCGGGCUGUGCUUCCGCAGUGUGAUGUAACACGUUGCGGAGUGUCUAUCUGCGAUGUGCAGACCGGUUGCAACGUGGGGUUUGACGGAUUUUUAACAAUUCAGUAACACGUUUCGGAUGCUCGAUCCGCGACGUGACAGAUCACACCGCGGAUCGAGAGUCCGCGACGUGAUCACCACGUACGUGAUGUUUUACUUCGUUGGUGAUCACGUUGCGGAUGUUCAAUCCACGAUGUGACAUAUCACACCGCGGAUCGAGAGUCAGCGACGUGUGACUAAAUCAUUAAAAGGCUAGUGUACCCACGCUACGACCGGUCCGCACAUCGCAGAUAGACACUCUGCAACGUGUCACAUCACACUGCGGAAGCACAGUCCGCAGUGUGUUUUUCCAGUCGGUACACUUUAUCAAAGUGCCCGUCAAGUAAGACACUAAACUAAAACAGGUAUUCAGUUUAAACAGUUAAAACGGAUUUGAAACUCAAACGGACUUCACUCUUUCUAGUUUGUGUAUGCGUAUAUUAAUUCGAGAAAAACGGCCCUCUAUAAGUGUGUUCUAAUAGUUCUUGGUUGUUUGAAAUUAGUAUUGUGAUAUAUAUCUGUGUAUUAUUUUUCUUACAGCCUGUUUGCUCUCCGUUCUCGGUCGUUGUGAGUAGAUGACGUAGUAGCGGCGGCGCUGUUUCCUGUGGUCACGGCUCCUGUGGUUCCGGUUGCGCCUGUGCGACCGCCGGCGCGGUUGCAGUCCGCGACCUCGCCCCCGGCUCCUUCCGCGGUACUUCAGGACACGCCUGCGUCUCCGCUUCUUCUGCCGGUGCCGGUCCUCGUCGUGCCGCUGAGCACAUCGGUAGUGCUAAAUGCUCAAGUGCUGGAACGAGACAUCGAACGCUGAAACGCUCAUCUAGCCUCCUAGCCGCUCCUCCCCUCACUCAUUAGACCCCCGCCGAGCCAACCUA